GACAGAGGGGGCAAGCGUUGCUCGGAAUCACUGGGCGUAAAGGGCGCGUAGGCGGGAUGGCAAGUCGGUCGUGAAAUCCUUCGGCUCAACCGAAGAACGUCGGCCGAUACUGCCGUUCUUGAGGGAUGCAGAGGAGAUUGGAAUUCCCGGUGUAGCGGUGAAAUGUGUAGAGAUCGGGAGGAACACCGGUGGCGAAGGCGGCAUCCUGGACCGACACUGACACUGAGGAGCGAAAGCCAGGGGAGCAAACGGG
rnacentral:rRNA from 1 species